ACAUGUGAUCUACCUAAUCAUGUAGCAAAGCUUAAUAACCCAAAACGAAAGGCAUAUAUUCAAGGUGAGACGAUAAGUAAUUUCCACUGUGACGCUGGUUACAGGUUGUCAUCUCAUAAAAACAUGACGUGUCGGUCAGAUGGAACGUGGUCUACGGUCGUAGAAUGCAUUAAAAAUGUAAACAAACAAACAACGUGCCACAAUUCGUUUGAUAGAGGUCACAAAUGGGCUCUUAAAGCGCAUACCAGAAAAUAUAAGAUUGCUUUACAAACAAAUAAGAAAUGGAUGAGUUUAUGUGAAUGUAAAAAUUCAUGCGUUCAGGUUCCGAACAAGUCGUGUGUUGCUAUAAGUUACAACUUAAGGGUUGGGAAAUGCGAAGGUUUCUAUGGUGGAGCGUCCUUCUUGCACGUAAUCGGAGCAUGGAGUGCACGUGUGUAUAUCAGGAUAUAGAUUUUGGUUCGAUUUACCAGAUCAUUUUUGUCACUUCUCGAAGCGGAUAUUUAUCCGAAGUUGAAAGAAUAUUGACACUUAUUUGUCUCGAGAAAUUUACGAAAUAUUCACAAUUUGCACUGAAAUUGGCGAAAAUACCGCUUUUUCAACAACACAUUAUUUGGCAGACAGUAUCAAGAAGUACGGGAAAUGGCAAAAUAAACCGAUUUUUCAAGUCCUUUUUGAUGAAGGAAGUAGUUUUGAUGAAGGAAGUAAGCUGUUAUGUAUGAGGCAUGUAGUUACAUUUAACAGUUGUGCCUAUUAUUCAAGUGUAAACAUUACUGUACUAAAAGUGAUGUACUUGUAGUUGGCAUCCUAGAAGAUAUUAGAAAUAGAGAAACGGUAGAACACGAAUUAAAAUCACUUUAUAAGGACAUUAUAAACCUAAAUGAUAUAAUUAAAACCUUUACUGGGCUGCUGAAUUGAUGAAUUAGCAGCAAGUGUCUUUAAUGACAUAGACCUUGAACAUUUUUGUAUUUCUAAUAAUGUA